rnacentral:rRNA from 1 species
ACUCCUACGGGAGGCAGCAGUGGGGAAUAUUGCACAAUGGGGGAAACCCUGAUGCAGCCAUGCCGCGUGUGUGAAGAAGGCCUUCGGUUGUAAAGCACUUUCUAGUAGGGAGGAAGGUAGUGUAGUUAACACCUGCAUUAUUUGUACGUUACCUACAGAAGAAGCACCGGCUAACUCCGUCGCCAGCAGCCGCGGUAAGUACGGAGGGUGCGAGCGUUAAUCGGAAUUACGUGGGCGUAAAGCGCAUGCAGGCGGCCUGUAAGUCAGAUGUGAAAGCCCGGGGUCUUAACCUCGGAAUUGCAUUUGAAACUGGCAGGCUAGAGUCUUGUAGAGGGGUUAGAAUUUCAGGUGUAG